AUUCUAAAGUCGGCUGUACACUCUCGCCGAGGCACAGCGAGGCGGCCCGAGUGCGAGAGGGUAAACGGGUGCGAUCGCCUCGUCUCGCUUGUCUCGGAUCUUUUCGAUCCGUUGUCGGUAUUUUGUGCCUGAGUCAAAGGGUCUCGCGAGGAAAGCGAGCGCAUUCUGUACACUCUCGCGUCUUUCAGUAGGUACUAGUCGCUGGAGAGUGUAGAACAGA